rnacentral:lncRNA from 1 species
ACCUUUAAACAUUUUUUUAAGUUGGUGUUUUCUGUCGAUUUAUUUAAACAUUUUAUAUAAAAAUAGUGAGAAAAUAAAAAUACUAUUAUAAUAAUUUUUUAAUGGGGCAAUACAAUUCAAUGGCAUGUUUUUUUUAUUUCCUAAGGAUCUUUGUUUAGAGUUGGAAUCAAUUAUAUGUCGUUUCUGGUGGCAAAAGAGUUCGACUAGACGGGGGAUCCACUGGUGUAAAUGGAGUGAUUUGUGUACUCCAAAGAAUCUUGGUGGAUUGGGAUUUCGUGAUUUAUGUAAAUUCAAUGUAGCCUUAUUGGCUAAGCAGGGCUGGCGAUUGCUCACCAACCUCGCAUCUUUCCUUGCACGUAUUUACAGUGCUAAGUACUUCCCAAACACGUCAUUUUGGAAUGCAAGGUUUGGUGCUUACCCAUCUUUUAUCUGAAAGAGCAUUUUCGCAGCCAGGAAGUUAUUGGCUGACGAAAUGGGGUGGAGAGUAAGUUCGGGUCGUAUAAUUAACACCUAGGAGGAUAACUGGCCGUCGAAAGGGACCCCUGCUAUUAACAGAUUUAAUAUAGGCGAUGAGAAUUUAUUUUUGGUGGCUGAUUUAAUAGAAGCAAAUAACAGAAUAUGGAAGACUGAGCUUAUUACCAGAUUGUUUCCCCAUGAGAUUGCCACGACCAUCUGUUGUAUUCCACUGUCUGAAUAUGUUGACGAUGAUGUGCCAGUUUGGAAAGGAGAACAUACAUGACUUUACACAGUCAGGAGUGGCUAUCAAAUGUUAACCUAUGCCCCUGAUUCUACAGACUCUACCCAAGGUAAUAUUGACUUUUACAAAAAAAUUUGGUCUCCCAAAAUCACUCCCAAAAAUAAGAUAGCAAAUUGGAGAAUAUUACACAACUUUAUUCCUACGGCAUCCAUACUUUACAAUAGAAGACUUGCUAUUUCCCAUAUGUGUCCCCGCUAUAAUAUUGAAGCUGAGACUCCACUACAUAUAAGCAUGCUGUGCGGCCCUGCACAGGAAGUUUGGAGAUAGGUUAAUAUAGAAUGGAGUCUAUCUGGUAACCAUGAGGACUACUGGAGCUAGUUUACUCACCUAAUGAGAUCGCUUGAUACCCAAGCCUGUUUUACGAUCGCCAUUACAAUUUGGGCUUUGUGGUAUGCUCAUAAUAGACAUGUCAUGGAAGCGAAACAGCAACAUGCACUAGAAAUUAGUGCCAAAAUUAUCAGCCUUGUUCGCGAAUUGAAGGAGUUAAGAGCGAAAUUACCUGAGGCAAGGAUAACGAUGAAGCAAAGCUGGACCCCCCCGACGGAUCUGAUGCUCAAGCUUAACUUUGAUACUACUUUUCAUGCCCAAAGCCAACAAUCUUCUUCUGGUUUUGUUGUUAGGAACGCCCAAGGCCAGGUUUUGGGAAGUGGUAUGGUAUGGAACAAUUUUGUCUCUGAUCCUUUCAUAGGUGAAAUGCUUGCUUGCCUUGAUGGUCUGCGAUUUGCCACUGAUAUGGGUUUCCAGAAUUUAGUGGUUGAAGGGGACUCAAGAUCUAUUAUUGUGCGUAUUACUGAGAUGGUAGGGAUAGAUCUGCAAUCGGGGUUUAUGUUGAAGAAAUUAAGCAAAAAGCUAAAAUGUUUGAUAAAAUAAUUUCAGAUCUGUUAUAGGAACACGAAUCAGGUGGCCCAUAUUCUAGUUAAAGCAAGGUCUACUUUCAAUGAAGAUGGAUUUUGGGUAGAGGAUGUACCUGAUAUGGAUGUGUUGGCUGUGAAGGCUGACUACCCGAUCCCAGUUGCACCGGAUUAAGGUUGUAACAGCUUAAUUUUAAUGGUGUCGAAAACAGUGGUUCGAGACCACUAAAUCUGACGAGUGAGUUUGAAAAUUUUAUUAUUUAUUAUUUAUGAGUUAAAUGUGAUUUUAAGAAAAUUUUUGAAUUAAUAAUUUAUGUUUUAAAAGGAAUUAUUAGGUUAAGUGAUUUUGAAAACGAGUAUCGAGACUACGAUUUCAUAAAUCGAGCCGUAAAUAUUU